CCUACGGGGGCAGCAGUGGGGAAUAUUGGACAAUGGGGGGAACCCUGAUCCAGCCAUGCCGCGUGUGUGAAGAAGGCCCUCGGGUUGUAAAGCACUUUCAGUGAGGAAGAACGCCUGGUGGUUAAUACCCAUCAGGAAAGACAUCACUCACAGAAGAAGCACCGGUUAACUCCGUGCCAGCAGCCGCGGUAAUACGGAGGGUGCGAGCGUUAAUCGGAAUUACUGGGCGUAAAGCGCGCGUAGGUGGCUUGAUAAGCCGGUUGUGAAAGCCCCGGGCUCAACCUGGGAACGGCAUCCGGAACUGUCAAGCUAGAGUGCAGGAGAGGAAGGUAGAAUUCCCGGUGUAGCGGUGAAAUGCGUAGAGAUCGGGAGGAAUACCAGUGGCGAAGGCGGCCUUCUGGACUGACACUGACACUGAGGUGCGAAAGCGUGGGUAGCAAACAGGAUUAGAUACCCUAGUAGUC
rnacentral:rRNA from 1 species